AAUCGCACGUUGGGAGAACGGGAGACUCGCAGGUCAAACCCGUACCGAAGGAGCAACCGCCCCGGUAAACUCUCAGGUAAACGGACCUUCGUGCGCGC
rnacentral:ncRNA from 2 species